UGAGGAAUAUUGGUCAAUGGACGGAAGUCUGAACCAGCCAAGUAGCGUGCAGGAUGACGGCCCUAUGGGUUGUAAACUGCUUUUGUAUGGGGAUAAAGUUAGGGACGUGUCCCUAUUUGCAGGUACCAUAUGAAUAAGGACCGGCUAAUUCCGUGCCAGCAGCCGCGGUAAUACGGAAGGUUCAGGCGUUAUCCGGAUUUAUUGGGUUUAAAGGGAGCGUAGGCUGGAGAUUAAGUGUGUUGUGAAAUGUAGACGCUCAACGUCUGACUUGCAGCGCAUACUGGUUUCCUUGAGUACGCACAACGUUGGCGGAAUUCGUCGUGUAGCGGUGAAAUGCUUAGAUAUGACGAAGAACUCCGAUUGCGAAGGCAGCUGACGGGAGCGCAACUGACACUUAAGCUCGAAGGUGCGGGUAUCAAACAGGAUUAGAUACCCUGGUAGUCCGCACAGUAAACGAUGGAUGCCCGCUGUUGGUACCUGGUAUCAGCGGCUAAGCGAAAGCAUUAAGCAUCCCACCUGGGGAGUACGCCGGCAACGGUG
rnacentral:rRNA from 1 species